GAUGAACGCUGGCGGCGUGCCUAAUACAUGCAAGUCGAGCGAAUGGAUUAAGAGCUUGCUCUUAUGAAGUUAGCGGCGGACGGGUGAGUAACACGUGGGUAACCUGCCCAUAAGGCUGGGAUAACUCCAGGAAACCGGGGCUAAUACCGGAUAACAUUUUGAACCGCAUGGUUCGAAAUUGAAAGGCGGCUUCGGCUGUCACUUAUGGAUGGACCCGCGUCGCAUUAGCUAGUUGGUGAGGUAACGGCUCACCAAGGCAACGAUGCGUAGCCGACCUGAGAGGGUGAUCGGCCACACUGGGACUGAGACACGGCCCAGACUCCUACGGGAGGCAGCAGUAGGGAAUCUUCCGCAAUGGACGAAAGUCUGACGGAGCAACGCCGCGUGAGUGAUGAAGGCUUUCGGGUCGUAAAACUCUGUUGUUAGGGAAGAACAAGUGCUAGUUGAAUAAGCUGGCACCUUGACGGUACCUAACCAGAAAGCCACGGCUAACUACGUGCCAGCCGCCGCGGUAA
rnacentral:rRNA from 1 species